UGUAAUUUUUUAUUUUUCCUUACACACGCUCAUUUUUAUUUGUACUCUCCCGAAAACUUUGACUUUUGUAGGUUUGACGUCAAAUUGGCUUCUACCAAAGAAUGAUAAAAUA